UACGUAGGGUGCGAGCGUUAAUCGGAAUUACUGGGCGUAAAGCGUGCGCCGGCGGUUUUGUAAGACAGGUGUGAAAUCCCCGGGCUUAACCUGGGAACUGCGCUUGUGACUGCAAGACUCGAGUACGGCAGAGGGGGGUAGAAUUCCACGUGUAGCAGUGAAAUGCGUAGAGAUGUGGAGGGAUACCGAUGGCGAAGGCAGCCCCCUGGGUCGAUACUGACGCUCAUGCACGAAAGCGUGGGGAGCAAACAGG
rnacentral:rRNA from 1 species